AUUUGCAACUUUCUUCUUGAGCAAGCUGAAACAAAAGUGCUGCUCCAUCUAUCGGUUGCAGCUACAGCAUGAGCCCCUCUUUAGAUAGAUGGAUGGAAUUAUAUACUACGAAGUCUUUCUGUGAGGAAGCUUUUGUCAGAAUGUUUCUUUUACAAGAAAACAAAGUUGCACUGAUUUGACAAGGACGGGGGCAGUGGAAGGAGCGUGGCAUGGGUACAGUCAGGCUUCUCAAACGGACAACCAAGGUCCGCCUUGUCAUGCGACAUGCCAAGAGCCUCAGGAUCUGCGGCAAGCACCUUGAGUUUGCAGCUCAUACUACAUAGGAGGACAUAGCAUGAAGAGGGCGAUGACCCUUGGGCGCUUUCCACGGGAUUAAGGGCUUGGACGUCGUCGUCGUCC